AACACGGAAGUUACAAGUGGACUGUGAAAUACGGAAGAGGCAAUAACAUACCCUGCAGAAACCACUAUUCAAAGUAGACAGUAUUAUUCAUCACGCCUGCUCCAGCAGAAACAUUUGGCGUGAGAGCGGAAAAACAGAUGGGAAAGAUACGGCAUGCCUGUCUAAUCUGAAUCUAAAGAGAAAAAUAACUUCACUACUUCCAUUGCCAAAGCGGCAAUCCUCAUUUCGUGACUUUGGAAAGAUGGAGAAUAAUUUGUUUAUUGGAAGAACACAAGCAGUACUGAAUAGAAAGUUUUAUGGCAGCCGAGUGAAGACAUACUAGCCUUGAAAACAUACCUGAGAUGAAUGAGGUCACCAGCAAAUACUAUGACAUGUGACAAGUAAGUCAUAUCUGAAUUAGACCACCUGAACAGCCCCCGAACAUGAAGGAAGAACAUCUGAGGGCACGUUCUUGCCACUGUAAUUCACACUGCCUGUAGGGUGCAGGGGUAUCUGUGAAGUUCAACUUUGUGAUGGAUGAGAUGGUGUUUUUGCCCCUUGGCCUCUGAGGGAUUAGGCUGCUCAGGUGUUGUUUUUAAAAGACUUAGAAUUAGCUUACAUUUAAACAUUUAAACUGUCUUUUGACACCACUUUCAGCACCUGUUUUCUGGAGAGAAAAAGGUCUGGGCCCCCUGGAUUGAACCUUGAGUUUACAUUUAAUGUUUCAUUUGAACAAAUGAAUUCAUGCAGCAAUCAUAAGUCAUAUCUGAAAUGUACAUUUGUAACUGUUGUAAUUGUGUGACUCUUUGGCAGGGCUUUGAUUAUUAAUUACUGUAGAUAUAUUCAUGAAGCUUUCGGCGUGUCUCUGAGUGACUCAGUUCCACAGGGAGCAGUAACCAGUCUUUUUAUUCAGCAGUACACACUGAGGCCUCGGUUGCAGCCUCGGGAAGAAAACACUUUUAUGUUAGAUGAAAAGAGAUGUUUGAGAAGCAGACCACCAUAUCUGCAUGAAGCCCACCUGCAUAGGAAUGACAAAAGGGACCACCAAGCUUAAAUGCAUGUUUCCAUGGAAACCAGCUGAAGGCUGACUGCACUGACUUUAAAUGCCUGCAUAGACAUUACAGCCUGAGUCAGUGGACUAGCAGUGCAUGGGCCUUUCCUCUUUAGGCAUUAGCUGUCGGGACAGGAAUUGUACUUUGCACAGAUGGUUCAUCGCUCCUGGGAUGCUGGGAUGACCAAAAAUAUGUCAGGCUCCCUAACCAAAGCCAUAAACUUAGGCUGCAAAACACUUGAGAAAAUAACAUUGUUGCAGGAGCCUCAAACUACAUGUACAUAUUAUGCAUGCUGAAUGGUUUCACAUCAGUUUGCAUUAAGAAACAGUCGAUUGUUCAAUUUGGGUAGGAUUGUGAAAAUGAUGUGACUGUCAAACUGGCAUUCUUUAAUAAGUAAAUAACAGAUAAUUAACAUAUGUAUCUGCAGUGAUACCCAGGUCCUAUGUGAGUUAUGGUGAUGCAUAAUCACUGUAGAAAGGCAAAUUUGGUUUAUCCAGCAUUCUAUUUUACAACCUCAGCAUUCACAAUAGCUGUGAAAGAGCUGACUUCCACAUCCAAAGUACAUGAUAUAUUUCAAAUAUUGGUAUGUACAGAUGUACAAAGUUCUCUCAAGGUGAGGGUAACAAUGAUAUUUUUGAGCAACACGUUAUUUUUUUAUUUUUUAUUCAGUGCGUUUUGUCUAGCAGUGCUUUAAUG